UCCGUAGGCGGGCAGCUAAGUCAGUGGUGAAAGUCUGCAGCUCAACUGUAGAAUGGCCAUUGAUACUGGUUGUCUUGAAUUAUUAUGAAGUGGUUAGAAUAUGUAGUGUAGCGGUGAAAUGCAUAGAUAUUACAUAGAAUACCAAUUGCGAAGGCAGAUCACUAAUAAUAUAUUGACGCUGAUGGACGAAAGCGUGGGGAGCGAACAGGAUUAGAUACCCUGGUAGUC
rnacentral:rRNA from 1 species